UACGUAGGGGGCAAGCGUUGUCCGGAAUCAUUGGGCGUAAAGCGCGUGUAGGCGGCUCGGUAAGUCUGCUGUGAAAGUCCAGGGCUCAACCCUGGGAUGCCGGUGGAUACUGUCGAGCUCGAGUCCGGAAGAGGCGAGUGGAAUUCCUGGUGUAGCGGUGAAAUGCGCAGAUAUCAGGAGGAACACCAAUGGCGAAGGCAGCUCACUGGGACGGUAUUGACGCUGAGACGCGACAGCGUGGGGAGCGAACGGA
rnacentral:rRNA from 1 species